rnacentral:rRNA from 1 species
UUCGGCGAGUGAAGAGGGAAAAGCCCAAAUUUGUAAUCUGGCUCUUUUAGAGUCCGAGUUGUAAUUUUGAGAACUGUUUUCCGUGCUGGACCAUUUACAAGUCUGUUGAAAAGCAGCAUCAUUGAGGGUGAGAAUCCCGUACAUGAUAUGGACUACCAGUGCAAUGUGAUACAGUCUCUAAGAGUCGAGUUGUUUGGGAAUGCAGCUCAAAGUGGGUGGUAAAUUCCAUCUAAGGCUAAAUAUAGGUGAGAGACCGAUAGCAAACAAGUACCGUGAGGGAAAGAUGAAAAGAACUUUGGAAAGAGAGUUAACAGUACGUGAAAUUGUUAAAAGGGAAACAUUUAAAGUUAGACUUGUUAUUAUUGGUUCAGCUUCUUUUUUGAGGUGUAUUCCGGUGAUUAACAGACCAGCAUCAAUUUUUGAGUGUCAGAUAAGGGUUUAGGAAAUGUAGCAAUUUCGGUUGUGUUAUAGUCCUUUACUUUGAUAUGAUGCUUAGGAUUGAGGAACGCGGUAAGCUUUGUAGCAGAUCUUUUUCGAAAGAUCUCCUUACUA